GGGGGUACGUGGGUGUAAAGAGCAGGUUGCGGUAGGAACUGUAUGUGAGGGAAGCAUAGGCGAGGGAAGCAAUGGGGUGCUGCACUACACCAGCAAUUUGUCUACCAAUCCUGCAUUAAUUAUCCUGUAAUCAGUCAAUUCAAGGCAGCUGGUUUAUUUAGCGAUAGCGAGUAGGAGCCUCAAAAAGGGGGAGAGAGGAGAGAGUGUGGGAAGUUCCCCCGCCCUGGCUUUGCUGUUAUUUGUUACAGGAUUUCGGCGGAGUGCCGCGAGUUGCAGAGGAGAGUUUGGAAGCAGAGGGCCGAGGAACACCGUCUUUGGGGAAAGCGAGAGUGGAGACGUGACGUCUCGUGGGGAUCCCUCGUUAAUCAGCUGACGGAAGGCCGACUCAGGACAACAUAAACCAGCCGCGACUACAGUGGAGCCGUAACCAGUGUGGACAUACACCUCCUUCUGCGCAGCUGCCAGGGAGGAGAGAAGUGUGGAGCUUUCCUCCCUCAACGAGCUAAGUGGCCCUUCCUUGCCCUGUUAGUUUAGAUUAAGCAAGACUGUGCAUAUUCUACAAGUGUGAAGCCCAGCUGCGACAGUGAGGGACCGGCACGCCUGCCAGCCAUACGUAGGAGGAGAGUGGACUGCUUAAGCCAAUGAAUUGGACUCUUUUACUCGUUUCACCUUUUCUACAUAUUUAUUAGCUAAUGUAUUAAAUAAAGAUUAUUGUUUUUCUA